AGUGAACGCUGGCGGCGUGCCUAAUAUAUGCAAGUCGAAGGAAGUGGCGCACGGGUGAGUAAUAUAUAGCUAAUCUGCCCCUUGUUGGAGGACAACAGUUAGAAAUGACUGCUAAUACUUAAUAGCAAGGGAUGAGACUAUAUCGUAUCAGCUAGUCGGUGGGGUAACGGCCUACAGAGGCUAUGACGUGUAACUGGUCUGAGAGGAUGAUCAGUCACAUUGGAACUGAGACACGGUCCAAACUCCUACGGGAGGCAGCAGUAGGGGAUAUUGCGCAAUGGGGGAAACGAUGACGCAGCAACGCCGCGAAAAGGAUGACACUUUUCGGGGAGUAAACUCCUUUUGUUAAGGAUGCGGUACCUAACGAGUAAGCGCCGGCUAACUCCGUGCCAGCAGCCGCGGUAAUAC
rnacentral:rRNA from 1 species